CAUAACCUAAUGUUAUAAAUUAUAAAACCGCUAUUGUAAUUUCUGAGAAUAUGAAAAACUAUUACAAGUGUGAUAAGAUUCGCGUUAUUUGUUCUAUAUGUCGUUAGUACUUAGUCUAUUUCUUCCAACUGUGUCCUUGCUAUUCAUCUUGAUCAACUGAUGGACUAGAAAUGUAUGAGCAGCAAACUAUAAAUUCGCUAGAUAACGGACCGAUGAUCUCAAAGUCAACUCAAAACGUGAAACUUGAAGUCCGUGUUUGUUGUCCUGUUGCUUUUUAGCGAUGGUGUGCGGUCUGGUUACUGCACAAGUUAUAACUUUAGAAGAUAGCCGCUCAGUACCCUCAAGCAAAGAACGUCAAUUUAACAUCGCAAAAAGAAGCAUUCCACUAGGCCACUUGAUUAAAAAGAAAACACCACAACAAUAUGACAUUUAUUCGGAUUCUUCGGAUUACAAUUAGUGCAUAUAAAAAGUUACAAUUUAUUUCGUAUAACCUGGAAACUCGUUGGAGAAUGUAAUUAAUAAAUGACUGAGAUUUAGUUACCCGAACGCAUCAUCGAACUUUAACAAUUGUUCAAUAUUGUACGCGAUGUUUGUAGUAAGGCGAUAUUUAUGAUGAUUUUUUUUAAUUUGACUUUUUUCUAAUCAUCCCAUAUGUUCACAAAUUAGUUACAGAAAUAUAAACUUCAAAAUUAGAAUUAAUUUAAUAAAUUUACAAAGUGGUAAACAUCUUUUAAA